rnacentral:rRNA from 1 species
GGGGAAUUUUGGACAAUGGGGGCAACCCUGAUCCAGCCAUGCCGCGUGAGUGAAGAAGGCCUUCGGGUUGUAAAGCUCUUUCGGACGGAAAGAAAACGGAUGGGUUAAUAUCCAGGAAUUUUGACGUUACCGACAGAAUAAGCACCGGCUAACUUCGUGCCAGCAGCCGCGGUAAUACGAAGGGUGCAAGCGUUAAUCGGAAUUACUGGGCGUAAAGCGCGCGUAGGUGGUUCGUUAAGUUGGAUGUGAAAGCCCCGGGCUCAACCUGGGAACUGCAUCCAAAACUGGCGAGCUAGAGUAUGGCAGAGGGUGGUGGAAUUUCCUGUGUAGCGGUGAAAUGCGUAGAUAUAGGAAGGAACACCAGUGGCGAAGGCGACCACCUGGGCUAAUACUGACACUGAGGUGCGAAAGCGUGGGGAGCAAACA